AUGGCACCGCUCAUGAGGCCAUGUUGAGGCGGCAUCCCACACGCCACAACUAGAAGGAUCCACAAGCUGAUAACUGGAGGAGGCGGUGUGUGUAGCUGGAGAACUUUGCUCUUUUGCUGUCAGUGUCCCACCUCAGCUCUCACCUCCCUGUCACAUUGUUCCACCUUGCUGUCAGCCAUCAGUCACCGGAGAGUUUUGGGCUCCUCUGACUUCAAAGGAUGCAGCUGCCCGGAGGGAAAAGAUGUAGCUUUCUUUUUGGGUUCAGACACCUUGCUAAUUGCUGGGAGGUGGGAAAGUGAGGGCAGAAGAAAGGAUCUUCCACCGGAGCAAGAGUUAAGGAAACCAAGGAGCCUGGCACUGCCCAUCGGCCGAGCUGGGCCUAUUCUUGCCCCUGUUCUGAAGCUUUUAGGCCUGAGCCAACAAGCGGCUGCUUCAGGAUAAAUUAAGACCUUCAUUAUAAGACUCUUG
rnacentral:lncRNA from 1 species